rnacentral:rRNA from 1 species
UACGAAGGGGGCUAGCGUUGCUCGGAAUCACUGGGCGUAAAGCGCACGUAGGCGGAUCUUUAAGUCAGGGGUGAAAUCCUGGAGCUCAACUCCAGAACUGCCUUUGAUACUGAAGAUCUUGAGUUCGGGAGAGGUGAGUGGAACUGCGAGUGUAGAGGUGAAAUUCGUAGAUAUUCGCAAGAACACCAGUGGCGAAGGCGGCUCACUGGCCCGAUACUGACGCUGAGGCACGAAAGCGUGGGGAGCAAACGGG